rnacentral:rRNA from 1 species
UACGUAGGGUGCAAGCGUUGUCCGGAAUUAUUGGGCGUAAAGAGCUCGUAGGCGGUUUGUCGCGUCUGCUGUGAAAACUCGGGGCUUAACCCCGGGCCUGCAGUGGGUACGGGCAGACUAGAGUGCGGUAGGGGAGUCUGGAAUUCCUGGUGUAGCGGUGAAAUGCGCAGAUAUCAGGAAGAACACCAAUGGCGAAGGCAGCUCUCUGGGACGGUACUGACGCUGAGACGCGAAAGCGUGGGGAGCGAACAGG